rnacentral:lncRNA from 1 species
AAGACUUGGGCAUAAGAUGUUAGAACAAAUAUCGCAUAGGAAUCCGAUUGCAAUUAAAAUCUAACUAACUUUGUGAUAAAAAUAAAAAUAAACAAACAUACAGAUAAACGCAAAUAAAUCAACUCACAGAUAAUCGCUAAAUCCUAAAAUUGUGGAAAAAGAAUAUCAACAUAUUAAUCCGGAAGCGUGCGAGGCACUGCCCUAAGGCGUAUUCCCGUCCUUACGUGCGGGAUUAACCGGAAAUAACACCCCAAGGUACGACCGGAAUUCCUCAUUCUGCGAGCACGAUCGUGAAGGAGGUUGACGAAGAUUCUCAACACCCAGUGGAUAAGGGGAAUGUUCAAAAAUGAAAGAUAAAAGAAUAAAUGGAUAGAGAUUAACCAAUGAUCAAAAAUCUUUUCUGCCUGCUCUAUCUUGAGCAAGAAGAAAAGAAAAAAAAAAAACCUAAAAAGGAAAGAGGAUUUUACGUUUUUUCUCUUACGAGAAAGAAGCGGAACCCGCCCAACGUAACGCGGAAGAAACGAAACGGAAAAAAAAUUCCGUUAGUUUCUUUCUCAUUAAAAAACAUAAUAAAAUAAUUAAAUAAAAUAAAAUAAAUAAAGUAAUAAAUAAAUAAAAUAAUAAAUAAUAAAUAAUUUAAAGUUCAAAUAAAAUAAGUGCAAACUUAAUAUU